UACGAAGGGGGCUAGCGUUGCUCGGAAUCACUGGGCGUAAAGCGCACGUAGGCGGCUUUUUAAGUCAGGGGUGAAAUCCUGGAGCUCAACUCCAGAACUGCCUUCGAUACUGAGAGGCUUGAGUCCGGGAGAGGUGAGUGGAACUGCGAGUGUAGAGGUGAAAUUCGUAGAUAUUCGCAAGAACACCAGUGGCGAAGGCGGCUCACUGGCCCGGUACUGACGCUGAGGUGCGAAAGCGUGGGGAGCAAACAGG
rnacentral:rRNA from 1 species